rnacentral:rRNA from 1 species
AACGAACGCUGGCGGCAUGCCUAAUACAUGCAAGUCGAACGAGAAAGUCCUUUCGGGGGCGAGUAAAGUGGCGCACGGGUGAGUAACACGUAGGUGAUCUGCCCUUAGCGUGGAAUAACUCGGGGAGACUCGGGCUAAUACCGCAUAAUAUCAACGAAGUUGAAAAUAGUUGAUCAAAGGUGGCCUCUGCUUGCAAGCCAUCACUAGAGGAGGAGCCUGCGCGACAUUAGCUAGUUGGUGGGGUAAUGGCCUACCAAGGCGACGAUGUCUAGCCGGUCUGAGAGGACGAUCGGCCACACUGGAACUGAGACACGGUCCAGACUCCUACGGAGGCAGCAGUAGGGAAUAUUGCGCAAUGGGCGAAAGCCUGACGCAGCAAUGCCGCGUGAGUGAGGAAGGCCUUCGGGUUGUAAAGCUCUGUCACCAGGGAAAAAUGGCAUUACGGUUAAUAGUCGUAGUGAGUGAUGGUACCUGGAGAGGAAACACCGGCAAACUUCGUGCCAGCCGCCGCGGUAA